UAUUAUUCUAUUUUUAUCAGUCGUCAUCAUCUUCUUCUUUAAACACCAAGACCGUACUUGCUAUUUCUCUGCAAUUUAAGAUUUUCACUAUAGAAUGAAUAAUCUUCAAUGAAAUUGAGAAAACAGCCCAACUCAUUAACUGCAUAAGUGGCUGAAUUUCAUUCUAUUCUAUUCCUCUCAAAUGAUCCCUAACCGUAGAGAAAAGGAAAGCCGGCGGCGCACCAUCUUCCAUCUCCUCUCCUUCCGUCGACAAUUCCUCAACUCACGCCGGCGUCCUCUCUCUUUCUCGGCGAAAUGCCGCUGACACUGGUGCCCUCUAUCUCUUUCUCUCUCUCUAAUUUUUUUCUGCGCGUUGUAAGUCUGCAACCCCUCCCCUCUGCACUCGUCACCACCGGCGACCAUCACCUCUAUCGCUAGUCUGCCACUCAAUUUUGUUCUGUGCACUGCAAAAAAGAAAAAAAACUCAUCUUCAUGCCCAAUCUCCCAACAUCAAAAUUCCUGAAAUAAAAGAACCACACCUGCUAUCCUGCAAGUCUUCAAUCACAAAAUCAGAAUAUCAGUGCAGAUUCUAGUGCAUCUAUUUAAAAACGUUCUAAAUCUUCUUCAACAAGUUUGCAUUUGAUUGGACCAAAUUUUUGUCCAUAUUAAUCUAAUUCUAGCCCAUUUCCUUUCACUCUUUUCACUCUUUCCUAUAAACAAAUUAUUGUCCAGCUCUAGAUUUUGCAGGCUUGGAAUAAGGCUUACUAUAUCAAAAAUGUGGCCAGGGAAGAAGUUGUCACCGAGGUGAAGAUCCUUCAAUUUGGUGACAGGGGGCCUUGAAAACCAUUGCUGGUGAGGUUAGGAUAUUCAAGUUUGACCAAAUCAGUGAACAAUGAAUCAGGAAUUUGGCUGGUGAAGGUGUUUAGAGACAAAUCAAGAAAAGUACGGUUGAGACAGGUGGUUAUGAAGUGUGGGAAUUCCAUGUUGAGUUCAUUGACACCAAGAUUAAGGUGAGUUAGGACAGGGAAAGUGGGAAAUCGAGACCAGUCAGGAGUUUCAAAGUGAUUGAAGCCCAAAUCCAAGAAGCGUACCUACCUCAGAUUGCCAAUCUGAUAUGGGAUUUCUAGAGAAGCUCAGGUAUCGAAGCUCUGUAUCUCUGGUGGAAUGGCGCCGGAAAAUAGAUUGGUGGAUAGGUCCAAGAGAGUGAGGCUUGUGAGGUUUCCAAGAGAGCUGGUAUGGAGCCGUUGAGAUCAUUCCCAUAAAGGUUGAAAGUGGUGAGAUUCAGCAAUGAAGUGAAAUAGAACAUGUCCAAUGUCCCUGCAAGGCCUGCAACGAGGAGAUCAAUCCCAGGGACAGAUCCCCCGUCGUUGCAGCGAAUGCCAAUCCAUCUGCAGUAGUUGUUGAUGUUGUUGACGGACCACGACUUGAGAGAAGCAGAAGAUGAUAGGCUGGAUUUCCAUCUCAUCAAACCCUCUGCUUCACUUGUGGCUGCUCUUGAAGGAAAUAUACAUAGACACAGUGUUAGGGGAGAAAGAUAUGUGAUGUGUAAUUUUCGAGCUUUUAUAUUAAUGGAUUUAGAACACACAAGUUUAAUAAAAUAGCUCUAAUAUUACAAUCUA